ACCUUCGCGCGUGUUUCAGGUGCCCCGCCAGCAACGUCUGGCCAGGGUGAAACUGGGAAGUCGGUGAGUGCCCACAGGGUGCGAUUCCGGCGCUGCCCCCGCAACGGUAAGUGAGUGACGGCCGCGCAGGGCCACUGGGUGACCAUACCCGGGAAGGCGCGCAGGUCAGGGCCAGCGGCCCGCUCACGAGCCCGGAGACCGGCCUGAUACUGCCAACGGCA
rnacentral:ncRNA from 2 species